GACAGAGGAUGCAAGCGUUAUCCGGAAUGAUUGGGCGUAAAGCGUCUGUAGGUGGCUUUUUAAGUCCGCCGUCAAAUCCCAGGGCUCAACCCUGGAAUGCCGGUGGAAACUGUCGAGCUAGAGUCCGGAAGAGGCGAGUGGAAUUCCUGGUGUAGCGGUGAAAUGCGCAGAUAUCAGGAGGAACACCAAUGGCGAAGGCAGCUCGCUGGGACGGUACUGACGCUGAGACGCGAAAGCGUGGGGAGCAAACAGG
rnacentral:rRNA from 1 species